UACGGGGGGAGCAAGCGUUGUUCGGAUUUACUGGGCGUAAAGAGCGCGUAGGCGGUCCGGUAAGUCCGCUGUGAAAGUCAAGGGCUCAACCCUUGAAUGCCGGUGGAUACUGUCGGGCUAGAGUCCGGAAGAGGCGAGUGGAAUUCCUGGUGUAGCGGUGAAAUGCGCAGAUAUCAGGAGGAACACCGAUGGCGAAGGCAGCUCGCUGGGACGGUACUGACGCUGAGGCGCGAAAGCCAGGGGAGCGAACGGG
rnacentral:rRNA from 1 species